CGGUGUUUAACUGGCGUGAUGUGGGACGUCCUACCGGUGGGCUUAGCCUCGCGAGGGGCGGCCCAACUAAUAUCCCGUCGCGGUGCUCUUUACUGAGUGUCGAGUCGGGCCAGUACGUUUACUUUGAACAAAUUAGAGUGCUUAAAGCAGGCUAUCCUCGCCUGAAUACUGCGUGCAUGGAAUAAUGGAAUAGGACCUCGGUUCUAUUUUGUUGGUUUUCGGAACCCCGAGGUAAUGAUUAAUAGGGACAGAUGGGGGCAUUCGUAUUGCGACGUUAGAGGUGAAAUUCUUGGAUCGUCGCAAGACGGACAGAAGCGAAAGCAUUUGCCAAAAAUGUUUUCAUUAAUCAAGAACGAAAGUUAGAGGUUCGAAGGCGAUCAGAUACCGCCCUAGUUCUAACCAUAAACGAUGCCAGCUAGCGAUCCGCCGAAGUUCCUCCGAUGACUCGGCGGGCAGCUUCCGGGAAACCAAAGCUUUUGGGUUCCGGGGGAAGUAUGGUUGCAAAGCUGAAACUUAAAGGAAUUGACGGAAGGGCACCACCAGGAGUGGAGCCUGCGGCUUAAUUUGACUCAACACGGGAAACCUCACCAGGCCCAGACACCGGAAGGAUUGACAGAUUGAUAGCUCUUUCUUGAUUCGGUGGGUGGUGGUGCAUGGCCGUUCUUAGUUGGUGGAGCGAUUUGUCUGGUUAAUUCCGAUAACGAACGAGACUCUAGCCUGCUAAAUAGGCGUACCUUAUGGUAUCGCGAAGGCCCCCGGCUUCGGCCGGUGGGUUUUUACUACCAACGUACAAACAAAUCUUCUUAGAGGGACAGGCGG
rnacentral:rRNA from 1 species